CCUUCAAACUCAACUCAUCUCAGUUUCAACGGUUGGUCAGCAAGAUGUAGGGGAGUCGACUAAUGUGGUGUCUCCUAGAGAAAAGCGCAGGAAGAAUUAGCAACAGGGUGUAUCAGCAUUAUCAUCGGUCAACCACCGGUGUCCAUUUUAGACUGCGGAAUCUAGUGGCUAGUUGGUGGUAUCCAUAUUCGGUACAAUGCUUUGAUUACAAUGUUCAGUGGUGGUUUUGUAUAGUGCUAGCCUGCUGGUAUUCUUCCUUUUAAUACAUAAUUAUAGAAAUUAUUAUGGAAUUGAGAAAGUGACGCUUUUAUCUUAUAGGCCAUGAGUUCUUUGACCAUUGAUCAAUUAUUAGAAGGAUUAGGCGUGUGUUGCUGCACAGUUGGUGUUCUUGUGUUUUUACAAAAUAAAUUAGCCUAUUUGUUUUUAAAAUAUAGGUGUAUCAGAUUUUUAAAAAGUAAAAGCUCUUCAAGUUUGACCAAAUUUGUAGAGAACUAUAUUAAUAUUCAUAAUAUGAAGUUGUGAUCAUUAAAUUCAUCAUGAAAUAAAUUUUCAUAUUUUAUUUAUUUUGUAUUAUGGAUGUUGAUAUUUUUUACUCCGAACUUAGUCAAAGUUAAAUAUAUUUGACUUUUUAAGAAAAAAAUACACCUUAUAUCUUGGAACCGAUGGAGAAUUUGAUUUGGCUAGUGUGAGAGGCUAUGGCCUAUGUUUUUAUUUUAUUUAUAAAGCGGUGUUUUGAUGGGCCUUUUGUGAUGUGAUUCUGCGUUAUGUGCUAAUCAACAGAUAUCUACUUCGGAAAAAAAAAUAAGUCACUGUCUACAUGUACUAUAUUGGUGUUACAAUACUAUAUUUCUAGGUGGCAAGGGGUGCACGGAAUUGAUGUAUUAUUAUAAGUCAGUUGUUACCGAUUAAUUUUAAAAACCGUUGACCAAAUCGAAAUCAUGAAUCCAAUCCCAAAUUGAAUACCUCAAUCGAAUCAAAAAACUUCAAAAUUAAGGUGCAUAGUGAAUUAAAAUAAUUGAAUAGAAGAGCUUUUUGAGAAAUUGUUGACCCGAUCAAAAUUAAUUAAAGACCUCAAGUGAAUGUGGGCUCUUCAAUCCUACAGAGAAUAGUGAUAUAGUAUACUUUUCAUAUGUUGCGCAUUUACAUGUUUUGCUUCAUGCACGGACGGCCAUUAAUCACUGUUUUGUUUUGCGCAGUUUGAUUUUAUUUUUUAAAGACAAAAUUAUGACACGGAUGACCAAAGACCAAAGGAAUUCAGGUUCACCUAUAGCUCAACUGAAGAUGUUGUAUGUUUCAUCAGGGACAGCUGAAGAUGAGAUAUUGGAGGAAACCAAAUCUUGUGCCACUAUAGGUGAAGAUUUGGUUCCAUCCAAAUCUCACAUUCAGCUUGCAAGGUUAGGCUCUUGAGACAGGUUUAGGUGUCCAUCCAACUAGCGCUUUGUUGUAGCUAACACUCAGUGUCUGACAUAUGAACAUAAGAUAUUGGAGGAAACCAAAUCUUGNN
rnacentral:lncRNA from 1 species